CCUACGGGAGGCAGCAGUGAGGAAUAUUGGUCAAUGGGCGAGAGCCUGAACCAGCCAAGUCGCGUGAGGGAAGACGGUCCUAUGGAUUGUAAACCUCUUUUGCCGGGGAGCAAAAAGCGGUACGUGUACCGCAUCGAGAGUACCCGGAGAAAAAGCAUCGGCUAACUCCGUGCCAGCAGCCGCGGUAAUACGGAGGAUGCGAGCGUUAUCCGGAUUUAUUGGGUUUAAAGGGUGCGUAGGUGGUUAAUUAAGUCAGCGGUGAAAGUUUGUGGCUCAACCAUAAAAUUGCCGUUGAAACUGGUUGACUUGAGUAUAUUUGAGGUAGGCGGAAUGCGUGGUGUAGCGGUGAAAUGCAUAGAUAUCACGCAGAACUCCGAUUGCGAAGGCAGCUUACUAAACUAUAACUGACACUGAAGCACGAAAGCGUGGGGAUCAAACAGGAUUAGAUACCCUUGUAGUC
rnacentral:rRNA from 1 species